UAACAAACUCUCCCUAAGAUCUCAAUUUCUUUUUUUUUUUUAAUAAUAAUGAAAUUUCUCAUUUUUUCUCUGGUUCUAUUUUUCAAAGAAAUUUUCGUCAAUUCACGCUGUUCUGGGAAAAAUGGACUGGUUUGUUGCUCUGGUACUGUAUGGGACAAUUUAAAACAAGAGUGUGUUGAAUGCAAUCCAGGAUAUUACGGCUUGAAUUGCACUAGCGUAUGUCAGUACCCAACUUAUGGAAAGACUUGUAAGUUUAAGUGUUCUUGCAAUGAAGAGUUUUGUGAUAUUGCCUUUGGCUGUCCAAAAG